rnacentral:rRNA from 1 species
GAACCAAAUGCUUGCAUUUGGUGGAUGAGUGGCGAACGGGUGAGUAACACGUGGGUGAUCUGCCCUACACUUUGGGAUAAGCCUGGGAAACUGGGUCUAAUACCGAAUAUUCACAUCAUCGUAGGGGUGGUGUGGAAAGCUUUAUGCGGUGUGGGAUGAGCCUGCGGCCUAUCAGCUUGUUGGUGGGGUAAUGGCCUACCAAGGCGUCGACGGGUAGCCGGCCUGAGAGGGUGUACGGCCACAUUGGGACUGAGACACGGCCCAGACUCCUACGGGAGGCAGCAGUGGGGAAUAUUGCACAAUGGGCGCAAGCCUGAUGCAGCGACGCCGCGUGGGGGAUGACGGCCUUCGGGUUGUAAACUCCUUUCGCUAGGGACGAAGCCUUUUAGGUGACGGUACCUGGAGAAGAAGCACCGGCUAACUACGUGCCAGCAGCCGCGGUAAUACGUAGGGUGCGAGCGUUGUCCGGAAUUACUGGGCGUAAAGAGCUCGUAGGUGGUUUGUCGCGUCCUCUGUGAAAUCCCGGGGCUUAACUUCGGGCGUGCAGGCGAUACGGGCAUAACUUGAGUGCUGUAGGGGAGACUGGAAUUCCUGGUGUAGCGGUGAAAUGCGCAGAUAUCAGGAGGAACACCAAUGGCGAAGGCAGGUCUCUGGGCAGUAACUGACGCUGAGGAGCGAAAGCAUGUGUAGCGAACAAGAUUAUAUACCCUGGUAGUCCAUGCCGUAAACGGUGGGCGCUAGGUGUAGGGGUCUUCCACGACUUCUGUGCCGCAGCUAACGCAUUAAGCGCCCCGCCUGGG